rnacentral:rRNA from 1 species
CCUACGGGUGGCAGCAGUGGGGAAUAUUGCACAAUGGGGGAAACCCUGAUGCAGCGACGCCGCGUGAGCGAUGAAGUAUGUCGGUAUGUAAAGCUCUAUCAGCAGGGAAGAAAAUGACGGUACCUGACUAAGAAGCCCCGGCUAACUAAUUGCCAGCAGCCGCGGUAAUACGUAGGGGGCAAGCGUUAUCCGGAUUUACUGGGUGUAAAGGGAGCGGAGACGGCGGGGCAAGCCAGAUGUGAAAGCCCGGGGCUCAACCCCGGGACUGGAUUUGGAACUGUGUGGCUGGAGUGUCGGAGAGGCAGGCGGAAUUCCUAGUGUAGCGGUGAAAUGCGUAGAUAUUAGGAGGAACACCAGUGGCGAAGGCGGCCUGCUGGACGAUGACUGACGUUGAGGCUCGAAAGCGUUGGGAGCAAACAGGAUUAGAUACCCUAGUAGUC